rfam:Camelus ferus unplaced genomic scaffold scaffold1792, whole genome shotgun sequence.
GAGGGUAUAGCUCAGUGGUAGAGUGUGUGCUUAGCAUGCAUGAGGCCCUCGGUUCAAACCCCAGUACUUCUA